rnacentral:tRNA from 1 species
UGGGGAUGUGACUCAGUGGUAAAGUGCUGCUUACUUGGUAUGCAUGAGGUCCUGGGUUCAAUCCCCAAAACCAUAA